AGAAUAAUACAUCUCCAUUAAAUUAAGGCAUAUUAAUAUGAUUAUCAUUUUUUUACUCACUAAUAUAAAUUAUGGCUUUAAUUUUCCACCUCAACUAAUGACCAACUAAAUCGGAGGAUCAGUAACAAAAAAUAUAUUUGAUUUGCUUUGCCAUUUCUAUAGCGGAUGGAAUUCGAGAAAAGGGAAGCUAUAACGGGAUAUCACCAAUUUGCGCCACAGCCGGUUCUACGUUACCGGGAUUGCUACGGAUUUUAUCCGUCCAUGGGCUGUUAUUACGGCGAUGUAACUUUGUUCGGAUAGGUAAGUUUGAAGUUUUAAGAAUAUAACCCCAACAGCAUUUCCCAAAAACAAAAAAUUGGCGAAUGUUAUCCUGGUUCAACAAAAACUUUUUCUGAAAAAGUAAACCACUCUAGGAAGAACCUACAAAUAAUAGCAUAAUUGUAAAUACUUAUGUACAUAUGCAUAUGUAUGUUACUAUAUGAUUGUCAUAUAAUAUUUGACUUGAGUUUUUGUAUUUAUUUUUUCACUAAACAAAAUUUAUAUCGCUUUUUACUCCACCGAACUGCAACAAAAUUUUACGCUUAUGACUUUAGCAAAACGGAAAUAAUAAAAUCAAAUCGUUAGUGCAAAAAAAAAAAUAGAAAAAGUCAAAUAACUAAAAAAUUAUAUAUUUGCUAAGCAAGCGAUUGGAACAAAAAGGCAGCAUUUUGGGCGGCCGCAAAUGGAUGUACAAGUGCAAAUAAGUGAAAGCGGUUCACAGUGCUGCAGCUGCUGCAGUUGGCGGCGUAACGGUGACGAGCCAGUAAACAGUUUUUUCAAAUCACAAGUUGGCAGAAGAAUGAGUGGUCCAUACUAUUCUUGAUUUAUCGUUGGUGCUUUGCCACCUGGUUGGUGGUCACCAUGGGUUUGAGCUUGGAGCUAUUCUUCUUCGAUGGCAAAUGGUUUAUUUAUUUCACCAAUUGGGGUUACUUGCUCUGCACAUUUGUCGCGCUACUCAGCGCCAUACUAGUAACGGUCUACUGUUUCACAGCGCCAAAAGCACUGCUGUUAUUACUUGCAUUUCAUUUUCAGCUUGCCCGCGCUGGAUUGUCAAAUUAUACUGGCAUCUACAUAUAUCCGCAUUUGUAUGUGCUAUUGGUCUAUCAUUCCUUUAUUGGGCAUUUAUUCAUCCAUUUUCGAAUUUUAAAGUACCCGAAGGCAUACAUCGCAUCGAAAUCAUACGGUUGUAUCGGUACUUCUUCGAAGGACCUGACAAUCACAGCUGUCUUGCCUACUUCCACAACAUCAAUUCGCACGCAAUUAACUCGGUUUUGAUGAUUAUCGAUCAAGUUGUGGUGGCAUUUCCCACCCGCAUAAUACACUUCGUCUAUCCAGCACUCAUUGUCAUCAUAUAUUUGAUAUUUUCGAUGGUAUAUUUUUUGAUAGGCGGCGAAAAUGUCAUUGGUAAACCGUAUAUAUACAGAAUACUUAAUUGGGGUGAAUAUCCUGUGUCAUCCGCAUUAGUCGCUUGUAGCGGUUUGCUUCUAGUGUUUCCAAUGUGCGUUUUGGCAUUUUUUAUUUACAAACUACGUGUGUGGGUGAGUUCCAGCAAAUGUCUGUAGUGAAACUUAUUUAAAUUUAAUAUUAAAAACAAAAACAAAAAACGAAAUUAAUUAAUAUGUAUGCUCUCUACAUGGAAAAAUAAAGAGAACAAACUAUUAUAAUAAAAA